ACUCAAUAGAUACCCCGGUAGUCCAUGCCGUAAACGUUGGGCACUAGGUGUGGGGGACAUUCCACGUUUUCCGCGCCGUAGCUAAACGCAUUAAGUGCCCCGCCUGGGGAGUACGGCCGCAAGGCUAAAACUCAAAGGAAUUGACGGGGGCCCGCACAAGCGGCGGAGCAUGCGGAUUAAUUCGAUGCAACGCGAAGAACCUUACCAAGGCUUGACAUGGACCAGACCGGGCUGGAAACAGUCCUUCCCCUUGUGGGUUGGUUUACAGGUGGUGCAUGGUUGUCGUCAGCUCGUGUCGUGAGAUGUUGGGUUAAGUCCCGCAACGAGCGCAACCCUCGUUCUAUGUUGCCAGCACGUGAUGGUGGGGACUCAUAGGAGACUGCCGGGGUCAACUCGGAGGAAGGUGGGGACGACGUCAAAUCAUCAUGCCCCUUAUGUCUUGGGCUUCACGCAUGCUACAAUGGCCGGUACAAAGGGUUGCGAUACUGUGAGGUGGAGCUAAUCCCAAAAAGCCGGUCUCAGUUCGGAUUGGGGUCUGCAACUCGACCCC
rnacentral:rRNA from 1 species